rnacentral:lncRNA from 1 species
UCCAGGACUCCUAAUCAUUCCCAGGUCUCUGCUUUUAUAACUAUUCCAUUAUUCAUCGUGGAAUAUGAUGAAAUCACACAAACCAUACAGUACAACCGACGACCCCAUAGCGGGUCCUCCUCUUAUUCAACCCCCAAAAGUUACAAGAAAGACAAAGGGGCCAGCGCAAUCCUAGCACAGUCCUGACGGUUCUUCCACACCCAGUGAACUCUCUUGGAACUCAACUGCAGAGAGUCACUCAUUGUGACAAACACUAAAAGUUUAGAAUUUUAGUCUUUCAUUUGCCAAUCGCCAUGCAUGAGGCAUGACUCACGGGCUUCAGGAGAUAAAGUCCCGGAGUUAAAGACACACACCCUCGCUUUCUUUCGCCUUUCUACCUCUGGCUCAGUUUCGUGAAUGAACUGAAAAGACAUGCACACUUACGAGGGAGAGAGAUGUCCUCUUCAGUGGGCCGUUCGUGAGCGGAGCGGAGGAGGAACCGAAGCCGCAGGGGCGCCUGCAGAGGAGAAGCUUUUCCUACCUUCGCAUGUGUUGGGUCAGCAGCAAAUGUCAGCCGGUGGCUGACCGAACAGCCUGCCUCAGGUGGGAAAGCUGCACGCGAGACGUUUCCGUGCCAGGCCCGACCGAACCCCAGAACCUUCGCUGACAGCCCUUGACUUUGAACUCCAAGUAUCAGACUUGCAGGUACAGCUGGAAGGGUGGAAAGGUUUCCAACGGACAGAAAUCGGUCUGGAAGUCACUCCAAGGAGAGAUACCGUGUCAACAAAAGAAGAAAUCUGCCCACACAUGUUGGAAAGUUGGUUCCAGAGAAUGGAGGCUUUGACCUUAUUGACUGCUCGGCUAGUCAGCAGAUACUUGAUGGAUUCUUUCAUUCAUUCAGCACGUUAUUUUAUGACAAGUACUACAUAUUAAAAUUUUAAAGAAAAAUCACCUUUGGCUUGUAAAUUCUAGGUUAAAUAUUUACUUAGACUUUAGAAGUUAAACUUGUUUCAAUUUUUAUUUGCUUGUUUCUGU